AUUGAACGCUGGCGGCAGGCCUAACACAUGCAAGUCGAACGGUAACAGGAAGAAGCUUGCUUCUUUGCUGACGAGUGGCGGACGGGUGAGUAAUGUCUGGGAAACUGCCUGAUGGAGGGGGAUAACUACUGGAAACGGUAGCUAAUACCGCAUAACGUCGCAAGACCAAAGAGGGGGACCUUCGGGCCUCUUGCCAUCGGAUGUGCCCAGAUGGGAUUAGCUAGUAGGUGGGGUAACGGCUCACCUAGGCGACGAUCCCUAGCUGGUCUGAGAGGAUGACCAGCCACACUGGAAAUGAGACACGGUCCAGACUCCUACGGGAGGCAGCAGUGGGGAAUAUUGCACAAUGGGCGGAAGCCUGAUGCAGCCAAGCCGCGUGUGUGAAGAAGGUCUUCGGGUUGUAAAACUCUUUUAGGGGGGAGGAAGGGAGGUAAAUUUAUACCUUUGCUCAUUGACGUUACCCGAAGAAGAAGCACCGGCUAACUCCGUG
rnacentral:rRNA from 1 species